CAAAAUAGUUUGUAAGUAAAUCCUAAAUUCUAGUCCCGGACAUUAACUAUAUCUUACUUUUUUCUUAGUCAACAUUAUAUCUUACUUCCAAAAUCGAAUUUUAAUCCCCUAACCAUAAAAUCUAAAUAUGGCAUCUUAACACACUUAACCUUUCGACCAAGAAGUAUCUAUUUAUAGGGCUCGAAAUGCAAAAUGUGGAAUCUCAGGAAAAAAAAACAAACUUUCCCGAUUCUCUCCCGACCCUCUCCCGACUUUAGCCUCGUUUCCUCCAGCGUGUGGUUGCCUUCUCGCCGACGCCGGCGCGCUUCUCUCUUCCCCCUUCCUUGUUUUUCUCUUUGCCUUUUCUACUCCUCUUAGCCUCCUCUCCGAUAUGUCAAAAUCCUAGCUUCUUCGAUGGAUCCUAGCUCUUCAGAUCUGGGGCCCCGGUGAUGGGACUUAGUGAAGUCAGUUUGUGCUGGUGUCAAGGCGAGGUCUGUGAGGCGGGUAGUGGUCAGGGUCGGAUUUUACGGUGGUGGCGACUAUUCAAGGGUUUUUCAGAUCUUCUUUUUGGCUUGGUCUCCAUCAGAUCUGGCGGCGCGUGGUGCUUAGGUUGGACGCUCCCGAUUUGUUUCUGCGCUCAGUCUCCUCUGCUUGUCAUCGCAGGUGGAUUCUUCCUCUGUUCUCAAAGACAGACUAGAGGGUCUUCUGUCUCUUUAGGUGCGCGUUGGUAUCUGCUCUGAUCUUUGUCCUCUCGAAGCCUGCGGUUUGGUCUUUGAUGAGUUCUCUAGGUUUUAGAGUUCAAGGUGCUUGUUCUUCAUGGCUGUGUUGCAUCUGGGAGUUCUUCGAUGGCGUUGAGUCACCGGCUGUCAUGUGUUCCCGGUGGUAGCGUGUCUUGGUCCUCAUCCAUCCCAGGGUCAAGGAGUAGUCAUUUGAUUGUGUCCUCUUGAGGAUGAGUCCUCUCUUUUCCUUGCAGGUAUCUUUCAUCAUUGUCUCAACAGCUCCAAAUCAACCGGUUCUUCUCCAAUAAAGCUCGGCUUAGGUUGGGCGGGAGUGCUUGGUCUCAUGUGCAGCUAUCUGUCCGCGAAGGCUGCAAAUUAGGAGGCCCUCGCAAGUUGUGUUCUUGACAAGCCCGAUCUUUAAAAACUGUUCAUUGGGCAAGCCAAUUUCUAUCUGGUUCAGUUUUCGUUAUCACUGCGGGUUCAAUUUUGCGGCAAGCAAGUGUUCCGAUUUAGAUGUAUGCCUAGCUUAUUAGCUGUUGUACUAGUAGUCAGUCCCUGCAUAGUUAGGUUUGAGUUUCUGUUUAGUUUUUUUUUUCAAUUGCUAUGCUUCUUGUUUUCUCUGUUCUUCUGUCAAAAAUUUCGAAAUUAGUAAUAAAUUUUAACAUUUUACCAAAAAAUAAAAAAAUAAAUGCGAAAUUUAAAUAUUUCCAGACUUUUACACACCGACGGCUCCAAGUUUUUUUAAAAAGUUUUUAACUAUAUGCAAACGUCUAUAGUGGCAAUUAUGACAUAUAUGAUACAAUACUAAAAGCACAAUAAGCUCAAAAUCUAAAGUGUCCACGAUUAUUAAUUCCAGCCAAUGAUAGAGCUUCAUCUCUCCACAUCACCAUCGGUUUUGAAGCUAUACACGUCGGCUUGGAAAAUCAUCCAAUCAGAGAGCUUGAAAUCGUCGUGUCACUGUUGUUGAGUUAAACUGGACUUCUGCGUGGGGUUUCUUCAAAUUUCCAUCUGGCGAGGGUCUCUUUCCCCCGACUAUUCCAUCUCAUCUUCUCCAGUGUCUGAUUUUUUUCCUCAGUUACUUUCUCAAUCAAUAAUGAUCUUAAAGCUAUUCUUGAAUGUUUUGUUUCACCUUCCCUCGAUAUUUCUUCUAUAUAAAGCUAUAUCUCAUAACCUAAAUUCAUCCUAAAUAAAAAAAACCUUCUCUGAAGAAGAUACAUCCAUGGCCAUGAAAUACCACCGGAAAAUUUCAGCUCUCCACCUACAAAUCUACAGUCGUUGUCUACUUCUGCUGAAACCACCCCCCAAGAGAGAAGCUAAGGCACAUGAGGUUUACCAGAAUUUGCUGAGGACAGAGGCAGAAGCUCGUGUGGUCAAUGGAACCGGAGCUGAGCUUGAUCAGAUAAGGCCGGAUGUCUAGAAGCUAGCUGAAGAUAGACAGAAGCCAUCGGCGACCACAACUGUUCUUAACGGCGAGAUAGCCAAGGCUACAGCUAAAUCGGACUGAGCCAUGGAGAUUAAGGCGGACUCUUCGAGAAGAAGUUAGCAAAGGAAGGUGAAAACUGAAUAUAACUUUGUUGUGGAGUUGACAAUUUUGGACGAAUAAUGAGAUUCUUGGGUUUGGUUUUGAAACAUGGCUUCUCUUGAGCUUGAGAGAAGACAUGAGCGACCAUGAACGCGGUAUGGAGAAGACCACCGAUCACUUACAUCGUCAAACUGUGAACUCCAAGAAGAAUUAUCUGGCGUGGAGAUCAAAGCUAGGGCAGCAAUUGCAGCUGUUGAGGCAGCUCAAAACCCAAGCAAUCUCAAGGUUGAAAACUCAGAUGAUGCUUAUUGCUUAUGCAAGCCAAGGCCACCAACCCCCUGAAGCUAACGGUUCUCACAAGGUACACAUAAGCGAUGUUGGUAGAAAGAUAGUACUUGGUCAUCUGUUAGGAUUCCUCCUAUAUUAUCUUGGAUAAUUAUCUAUUGUUAGCUUUCUCAUUAUAAUUGUUUGUGUUUUAUAGUUUCUCUAUAACACUGCAAUAUACACGAAUCCAUAGAACAUAAACUCAUUGCAUAUAUCCACUGCAUCAAACGCGAGUUAAGAUAUGUCCUUAAACUUGGGAUCUAUAUGAUUCAUUUAGUUUGUUUACAAGAGACGGUUUCAGUUACUAACAUUUUUUUAUGUGUGCAUGUAUAUGUAAAUUAUGAACUAAUGUUACCUGGGAAGUUUGUGCUAUAUAGAGAAGAUGAUAUUUCGUCACUCUGGUGGAAAGAGUAUGCAGAUUGCAGCCAAGGCUCUCUACCACAAGUUGUUCCUAAAAAUAAAUUGAAUAAACAGUUAAUUGAUACUCAUUUAGAAACUUUUGUGUCAUCUACUCUAUAUGAAGUUGAAGAGGAGAGAGUUGGUGUACCUGUUAAGGGUGGCUAAAUGAGGAACCAUAAUACUGUUGGUGGACUUGGUGAGUAGGCAUUGUUUCUUAUAUACUGGAAUGGAAAUAAUCGGCAUGUGCUUAGAGUCCAAAAACUGUUACAGAACACUUGGAGCUUCCAUAUCAUAACAAGGUUAGAUAUCUUCUACUGGAGUAUGUACGAUUUAAACUAUAAGAUUUUUUUCUACCUGAUGCUUUUUACCGUUUGAGUUUUUGGUUUUAAGUUUCAUAUAUAAGCUGAAUCUAUGCCUUUUUUUGGCUCUCUUCUCUCUCUUUUUUUUUUGUUGUUGAGAAAUUUUGAAAGUCUUACACAUGUAUACAAUUGAUGAUAAGAAAACUGACUUGAAUUUUGUUUGGACUUUUUUCUGCCACGUCUGGCGCAGAAGAAGGUUUCAACCCUAUGGGUUUCUUGCAUCUCAUGUUGAUUUGCAGGUUCCAGGAAUGUGUGCGAGUUAUCAUUUAUGUGUCAAAAAUUGUAAAUUUCUUUUCGGAUGAAUGAUUGCAUAUAAAAUACUUUUCUAAGUUGUUAAUGUAGAUACUCCAGUCUCUCUUUACCGGGGAGGAUGAUACUUGGAAAUCUUGGCUUAAAGCGGUUAUUCCUGCUGUUCUAAACCUACAAUGGUUUUCAAAAUAUUCUGGAAUUAAGUCUCACAUUUCUUUUUUUUAUCUAAAGUCUACCAGGGAUUGUGUUUUGAAUCAUAUUUCUUGUGCUUCUAUUCACGAGAACUAGGCCAAGAACUGCAGAGCUCAAAUCAAGGAUCUGCAGAGACGCCAAAUUGUAAAUUGAAAUGUAAUAUUUUCUUUUCUUUUUUGUUUUAGUAUAUCAGUUUGGUCUUUGAUGUUUAAAUCCAUGUAAGCUCUCUAUAUUUUCAUGAUAAUCCAGAAAUUCCACUUGGUUUGACACCCUUCCCCUCAUUUUACAAUGUUCGAUUGUCACAACUUUUAAGGGACGUGUUCAUGCAUAAAUGCUACAUAUGUAUUUGCUCCAAUGGUCACUUAUUAUGACAUGUUUGGCCAAGAAAACACUGGGACUGUUUUGGUAUUUGGUUUAUGAUAUUCUAGAAAAUAUAGUUUAAUUCAUUUGUUUAUCAGAGCAACGUCCUAAACACUAUAUAUUUUCGUUCAUAUUACAUGUUCUUUGAUUCUAGAAAAAUGUCCUAAUACAUUCAAAGUUAACCACACAAUUUUUUUUUAAAAAACAAUUGGUUAUGUUUAGUCAGCAUUGUAAUUGCAUUUUAAAAACAUUAGAGUUUCCAUAUCUUCUGAACAAAAUGAAAAUCAACAUAAAACUAAACUUAAAUUUAUAUUUUUAUAUUUAGACUAUUUUUUUGGAAACUAAACAUCGAAGUUUCAAAAAAUAAUUAUGUCAAAAUAAAGUUAAAAUCAGUUUCUCAAAACCAAAAAUGGUUAAAAUCUGUUUAAAAUGACUAAAAAGUAUCUAGAAGAAAUUAACUAAAUAUCUAGGUUAAUUUUUUGAAAAGUAACAUAUUAUAUUUUAGUUAAAUAUAAUAAAAUUUAACUACAUGAAGAAACAAAUUAAAUUUUAAAAUUGUUGAAAUUCUUGAAGUUCAUAUAUGUCAAUAUAAAAUAGAAGUAAGCUUAAAUAUAUUUUAAUCACAAAAUUAUAAGAUAAAAAUUUAUGAAUUUAAUAAGUUGUUU